UCCUAUGACUUUCCUAUUGCUACGAUUUUCCUACACUAUGAACAAGGCCUUACACUUUCACACAGUCACAGUUACUCUUUCCCGAUCCCCUUUUUCCUUUACUCCGUUGACUCCAAAAUUGCUCCCACCAGAUGAGCUUGGUCGUCCUCAUGCGCAGCCACGGCAGCGGAUCGACUCGUUUGUGCUGCCGCAGGGUGACCAUCUAUGGUGGCUGGUUUGGCUCGUACAACUCCUUGAUCUCCCAGCAGGGUCCAAGGAGCAGCUGCGCAAGGGAGUAUGCGAAAUCAUGGUGUCUGUGCAGUUGAUUUUGGCGUGGAUUUCGUCUCCCGCAGCUAGAUUGGAUCCAACUCGAGUAAUAGGAUGCAGGCAACGGUGUGUUCCCUAGGUGCGAGGCAGACACAUCGUUUCUAUUCCCGGUCGAUGCAGCCCGGCACGUUGUCCUCCUCCUCCAGCCUGAAUAUUCUUCCAAAUUCGAACUUCGACUUGCAGAAAGAACGGCCACGCGGAUCCGGUUGGUGACAUGACUAUUCUUGGAAUAUAUACUAUUUCUCCCACAAUGUGUUCCUGAUAUUAUCUGUGCUUCGACGGAAUUUCUUCCACAUGAGAACAGCAGGAUUAUGGAUAGUUCCGAGAAGAGCGCCUCCCGAUCAUGGCUAUCAAUACUCUCGUUGUACUCGUCAAGUCCGACAUCCUAGUGCUAUAUCUCGGUCGGUGUCAAGGAAAUUUUCAACCUGGCCUGAUGGAUGAAGGUGUUUCCUACUUCUGUAUCUCUAUGGUGAUCAAGACUCAGUGAUCCAUGACAUGUAGGAUUUUGGUUCA